rnacentral:rRNA from 1 species
UACAGAGGGUGCAAGCGUUAAUCGGAAUUACUGGGCGUAAAGCGUGCGUAGACGGUUACAUAAGUCGGGUGUGAAAGCCCCGGGCUCAACCUGGGAAUUGCAUUCGAGACUGCGUAGCUAGGAUGCGGAAGAGGGAAGCGGAAUUUCCGGUGUAGCGGUGAAAUGCGUAGAUAUCGGAAGGAACACCAGUGGCGAAAGCGGCUUCCUGGUCCAGCACCGACGUUCAGGCACGAAAGCGUGGGGAGCAAACAGG